rnacentral:ncRNA from 2 species
UAGACUUGCCGCGCCUGAGGUGACCGCCGGCCUGGCCGGUGGUUGAAACGGGAAUCCGGUGCGCCCCGUCGUCACGCGACGAUGCGGCAAUUCCGGAGCUGCCCCCGCAACGGUAGGCGAGCCAGGUCCGCACACAGCCACUGUGCCAAGCGCAUGGGAAGGCGCGGACCGGGAGCGACGGUCGCGAUGACACGACGCUCCACUCGCAAGCCCGGAGACCGGCCACAGGUUUCGAUUGGCA